rnacentral:rRNA from 1 species
UACGGAGGGUGCAAGCGUUAAUCGGAAUUACUGGGCGUAAAGCGCAUGCAGGCGGUAUGUUAAGUUAGAUGUGAAAGCCCCGGGCUUAACCUGGGAGUUGCAUUUAAGACUGGCAUGCUAGAGUCUUGUAGAGGGGGGUAGAAUUUCAGGUGUAGCGGUGAAAUGCGUAGAGAUCUGAAGGAAUACCGGUGGCGAAGGCGGCCCCCUGGACAAAGACUGACGCUCAGAUGCGAAAGCGUGGGUAGCAAACAGG